GUGGGGAAUUUUGCGCAAUGGGCUAACGCCUGACGCAGCAACGCCGCGUGGAGGAUGAAGGUCCUUGGAUUGUAAACUCCUGUCAGCAGGGAAAAAGCAAUUUAGCCUCAUACGCUAGAAAGUUGAUUGUACCUGCAGAGGAAGCCCCGGCUAACUCUGUGCCAGCAGCCGCGGUAAUACAGAGGGGGCAAGCGUUAUUCGGAAUUAUUGGGCGUAAAGGGCGCGUAGGCGGCAUGACAAGUGGAUGGUGAAAUCCCUCGGCUUAACCGAGGAACUGCCAUCCAGACUGUUUUGCUUGAGGCCGGGAGAGGUGAGUGGAAUUCCCAGUGUAGCGGUGAAAUGCGUAGAUAUUGGGAGGAACACCAGUGGCGAAGGCGGCUCACUGGACCGGUUCUGACGCUGAGGCGCGAAAGCGUGGGGAGCAAACGGGAUUAGAUACCCCAGUAGUCC
rnacentral:rRNA from 1 species